AAAUUUCACUAUAAUCCCUCAGAUUACAGCCGGUUGUUUUACAAGCUCACAACCUAACUUGUUGUUUUCACGAGAUCACAACGAACUCGGUCGGUUUUCACAGGCUCACCGACUAGAACCAAUCCGAUUGUUUUCACGGGCUUACAAUCCAACCCAGUUGGUUUUCCCAAAGGCUCACCAACCACAACCUUACAACGAUUGUUUUUCGGGUUCACAAUCAACCCAGUUG
rnacentral:lncRNA from 1 species